GCCUUCUUGGUGUAAUGGUCAGCACACUCGGCGCAUUCGAGAGGUCCGAAGUUCGAGUCCUGGCGAAGGCA
rnacentral:tRNA from 1 species